ACUCUAAUAGUUUAUAAUAAAACACUGGUCUUGUAAACCAGAGACUGAAGACUUACCUCUUCUUAGAGUA
rnacentral:tRNA from 1 species